ensembl:lncRNA
CGGACCGGACCAGGCCCGCAGCCUGCGGGCAGGGGCGUGGGACCAAGGCCGGUGCGGUUGGAACAGACCUGUAAGAUCGGCCAGUGCAAUCGUCCAGGCAGCACUGCUGCCACUGUAACACCUAAACCACGCCACCAGAUCAGACGCCUCUUAAAACACCUCCAGGCAAUAGUGACUCCAACUUCCCUGGGCAGCUUAUUCCUGCGCCCGACCAUCCUAAAAAAAAGAUUUUUUCCUGAUCUGGAAAUCUCUCCUGGUACCGCUUAAAGGCACUUCUUUAGUUCUCUCGCUGCAGACACGGCAGAAGAGACCAGUCCCUCACCUCACUACACCCUUCUUACACGUAGUUGUGAGAGCCAUGAGGGCCCCCCUACGCCUCCUCUUCCUGAGACCCUUCCGGAGCCUUGUUCACUUUCUCUGGCUGCUCCUUUUUAGAGUGAAGGUUCCAAAAUGGAACACAGUUCUUGAGUGUUCUGCCCAUCGAGUGGAGGGCACAAGUCUCCAAACCCCCACAGGAGUUCCCUGCAGAGAAAUGGGAUCGAGCAGAGCUGAACAUCACAGAUGGUGUAGCUGUGGUCAGAGAUCAGCAGCAACAUCAAGAUCGUUUAGCUCACUGGGGCUGUAUGUGCAUUUUCAUGAUCUGGAAAUCAUUUAGACUAUUUAAUGCAAUUUCUACUGAAUCAGAUGACAUAAGCAUCAACAUCUGAAGAGCAGUGUUAGGAAAAAACCCUAAAGAAUACAAGUAACUUUAUGUGUUAACAUUAAAGAAAUUAUGCACACUCUUAUCUUGUAAAUUCCUUUACUCUUUUCUUCCGGCUGCCAGUCCCACAGCUGCACUUGUAUCUAUCAACCCUAGCUCAGGAUCACCAGGUCAGUCAGUACUUGGAAACAUUGUAUUUUGCUUUUUGAUCAAAGACGUUCCCAAAAGCAAAAUGCAAAUUAACUCAGUGAAGAAAUUUAAGUCAGAAAAAUUAACUUGCUAAGCAAUUCCUUUAAGUGUCAAACGUUGCAGCACUCUCAAUUUAUAGUACUUGUCACUUCCCAAGCUAGCUUGAGCUGCACAUUCACUUUCUAAAUACUGGAGCUUAGAGCAGUUUAACAAAUGCCAAGUAAUUUGCACCAAAGCUUAUUUAAGCCAAGUAUUCUGAUAUUCUCAGUACAGCAGAAAUGCCACUGUAACCAGUAGAACAUUGUUUUUUUCUUACCAAGUGACCUAAUUCAUACUUGAUCUAUAUGAAGGGCAUGUCUCUGCAGCUGUGUCAGCCAGGAUUACAGGAGACACAUCCCUAUCAAAAACACACAUAGAAGAAAAUCCUUUUCUGCUGUUACUGCAAGUUUUUUUAAAAAUUGCUUUCAAACACAUGUAAGGAGGCAACAUAACUAGCCUGACAGAAAAAUUUUUCCCUUAGAUGCCCUGCUAAAAUACUUACAGAAUUAAAGAAUCAUUGAGGUUGGAAAAGACCUCUAAGAUCAUUGAGUCCAACUUUUACCCCAGCAGCUGCUAAGUCCACCACUUAAACCAUGUCCCAAAGUGCACAUCUUUUAAAUACCACCAGGGAUGGUGAGUCCCCAGCUUCCCAGGGCAGUCUGUGACAGUGCUUGGGAACCCUUCAGGUUAAGAAUUUUUCCUAAUAUCUAAUCUAAAUCUCCCCUUUUGCAACUUGAAGCCAUUUCCUCUUGUCCUGUUCCUUGUUAUUUGAGCAAAGAAGCUGAGAACGUGGCUACAACCUCUUUUCAGGUGCUUGAAGAGAUCAGUAAGGUGUCCUGAGCCUCCUUGUUUCCAGACUAAACACCCACAGCUCCCUCAGCCGCUCCUCAUCAGACUUGUGCUCCAGGCUCUUCCUCAGCUCCGCUGCCCUUCUCUGGACACGACCCAGCACCUCAGUGUCUUUCUUGCAGUGAGGGGCCCAGAACUGGACAUGGCAUUUAAGGCGUGUCCUCACCAGUGACAUGGGGACAAUCCCUGCCCUGGUCCUGCUGGCCCCACUACUGCCAAUCCAGGCCAGGCAGCCAUUGGCCUUCUUGGCUAUCUGGGCACAGCUGGCUUGUGUUCAGCUGCUGUUGACCAGCACCCCCCGAUCAUUUUCCAGACACUCUACCUGCCCCAAGCCUGCUGGGGUUGUUCUGACCCACAUGAAGGACCCAAGGCCAACAGAAGCUGUGAUUCAGUCAUACUUUGAUACAGCAGAACUACAUUUUACAAAAGCAUUUAUUAAUGUAACACCCUUCACAUAGAUUUAACCCCCUUAAUUCUUGAGAAUUAUUUUUAAAGUAAGACUGAUAUGCAGGUAAUGGCAGCAAAUUCUGCUCUUUGAAAAUCACUGAAUACACAAAUUACAUAGUACAUACAACCUGAAAAUAUUAAAAGAAAAGACGUAGACUCAAAUAAUGUGAAUUUAUUUAUACAAAAUGAUGAAUAUCCACAGAAAUAUUUACAACUUCAAACUGUUUUCAGUUACAAAAUAAAAAUUCUAUUCUUCUAUUUAGACA